AAACAAAAAAUGGACGAAGGAUCUAAUAGCUACAUCUUCAAAGAUGAUAUAUGGAUGGCCAACAGACUCAUGAAAAGAUGCUCAACAUCACUAAUCAUC